UCGUCCUCCUCCGCUCGUCCUGGCCCUUGGCGCAAAAUGGUGGGAACGCCGAUUCCGGCCGUGGCAGACGGCUAAAACCUGGCCCUCGACUCGCGCUCAUCUAUGGUGGAGCAAGAGGAGGCAGGAGAGGACGGGGACCAUGAAGCCUCCAAGUUCCAGGCGUCGGCUUUUGCAGGAUUGGGGCGAGAUAAAUAUGGGUAAGGAUUUUGGUUUGAGCACCGCAUCUAGGGUCAUGAGCACCGCAUCUGGGGACUGGGGAUCAUGAGCACCGCAUCCGGUCAUUUACUCUCAUUCGAUCAAUUUUAUAGGAGGUGAAAGGAUUUGGCGAUUUGCUCUCACGAGCACCGCAUCUGGUCAGCAGAUAUUAUGCCGGACAGUAUAUGACCAGAUGCGUUGCUGAGGGAGAGGGG
rnacentral:lncRNA from 1 species